UGCCACGGCUUCCUGCGGCUCAGAGGCACAAACCAAGCGUGGGGCCCUCCUUACCACGUCGGAAAGGAACGCUCCGUGUAAACAGAAUGAGUCAAGCCGGAGUCGUUUCCCUGGUGAUCUGAGUGCAGCAAUCCUUCUACAAAGCAAAUACCCAGCACACUCCGUGCAGAAAAUCAAUGAGCUCUGUCAGGCUUUCCAGCUUUAAUUAUCUGGGUUGUCAACAACAGAAAUCGGAGUGAAAACAAACAGCCGCCAUGCUGUUUUGGGGGCCUUCGCAUCUAACUCCCUAUUGUCAAAACAGAGCUUUCUCGGAGUCAAGGACCCCAGGUUCCGAGACCCACGGCUACUCACCACGCUCUGGCUCCUUCCAUGGCUACAUUCAUCCCUGCCGUCUCCUCCAGGGUACCGGUGGAGAACCCGAGGAUGUGAGGGUUGAACUUCUUCAGAAUGUCUUUUAAGAGGGUGAAGCAGACAGGGCUCUGGAGAGCUGGGAGUGGAACUUCUGACUUGGGUGGAGACAGUCUGGAGCGAAGAAGGACAUAUCCAGGCGCCCAUCCUAAAAGAGAAAUGGAUUUCUUCGAGAUCCUAUUGGUACAGAAGGAAGGAUACUUCACACCUCUGAACCUCUGCUACCUGGGGAUGAAGAAACUCAUGGCAAAUGUCGUUGUGAAGAUUUUACCUAUGGCAAACACAGGGCUUGGCACGGGCUAGGUGCUCGAGAAAGUGGGGCCAGCUAUCCGUGGUAAUGAGCACAUCCCACAUCGGGCUGCCGCCAGGAACACAGCUCAGGUGUUCGGGGAGGCUGUGCCACAGACUGGCCUCUGGAGAGCUGCCCGGGUCUUUCCCAUAGUCUUCACACGCUCAUGAAAGCCCUUGGCAUCUCUGCCUUGAAUUUCUUCUUCCUCCUACCCAGGAGCCCCACCCGGGGAGGGCAGGGAA